GGCAUAUGGUUCAAAAGUUAUUUCUUUUCUAAAAAAAAAAAAGAUAUAUUAUAAAAGAUAUAAGAAACUUUGUGGAGAUGUGUUUAAAAGUGCAAAAGGGAUACAGGGUCUUUGUUCUUGGUUCAUAUUAACCCAAAUUGACACAAAUACAUUCUUUGAACCAGCCAUGCCCUGCAACACCAAAUACAUAGUAAAUAAUUUGAGAAAUUGGAAUAUUUAUAUACUGACAUUGCAUAGAAUCAUGGCUAGUCUAGACUAACAACACAAAUACACAAUAGUCGAAUGCUAAUUAUUAGACAAAAGCUUUAUGUUACCUUAUUUUCUUUGGAAAUAUAGGGAAAUCUGCUACCUCUAUCUUUCAGAUGUGCAUUAGGUAAUCUAUUAGUGUGUAAUAGUUCCUAUAUCACAUGUUAUAUCGAUUGAAAAUGUGUUGACAAAGAAAAUCAAUCCCCUAACCCUCCUUGUGAAAUACCACGUAUUGCACCAACUCAGACACAUUUACGAGUAUUUUACUGUUUGUCAUCUCACAAAUAUUACAAUGAUAAAUUAGAGAGAUAUAAUAACACUCAGAUGAUAUGAUCAGAAGAGAAACUAAUUUAUAUACAACCAGAUCUCUUUAUAACAAUCAUAAUAGUGAUAAAUUUUUCCUAUUAUAUCACUCCUAUUAUAUGUUCUAUAUAUCGACAUUUCGCUAAAAUAAACCUCGCUAUAAUGAUAUUUGAUUGGGUGCCAAAGUUGUUGAUCUAGCAGUUAACUCUUUCAUCAACGUGUUCUGGAAUUGUAUUUGUCUCUUUUGGUGAUUUGGAUCUUGAACAACUCUUGUUUCAAUUUUGAUCUCAAUAUAAAAAUUAUUCUAAAAAUAUAUAAUAUUGAACGAUCGACUCACAUCUAUGGAAAUUAUAAAGAUUUAAAUAGAAAAAAAAAAAUUAACCACUACCUGUUGGUGAACUUUUUUCCGCUGUGUUAACUCAUUAAUUUCCUCCACCAACUGCUCCUACAAUUUCAUUAUAUCAGUCAAAAAAAAAAAAAAAAAUACUGUUAUAAACUGGUUAUGAUUGUAUGAAUAUAUAAGCAUAAUAAUAAGAAAUAGGAAUAGUACUAUUAUAUUAAACGGUUAAAUCAUAUUUAAGAAAAUUGAAAGCAUUAUUAUCGAAAGAGAAAAUUAAGAACAAUCUGUUUGUAAAACUUUUUACGUUGUGUUAACACAUUAAUUUCCUGCAGAAAUUGCUCUUACAUACAAUAACAAUAACAAAUUCAGUAUAUUCCCACAUAAUGGGGUCUAGGGAGGGUAAAAUGUACGUAGUUCAUACCACUACCUCCGAAGAAGUAGAGUAGCUGUUUCCGAUAGACCCCCGGCUCAAGACAACGGACCGUAGACAAACAUCACAAGCAUACAACAUGAUAAAAAUAACAGAGGUACAACAUCUACAAAAAUAAAGCACAUAAACCAACACAGGACACCUCCCCNNNNNNNNNNNNNNNNNNNNNNNNNNNNNNNNNNNNNNNNNNNNNNNNNNNNNNNNNNNNNNNNNNNNNNNNNNNNNNNNNNNNNACCAACCCUAGCAUUACCACCCAAGCCACACCAAACUCUCCUAACUACUGCCUAUGCCUCGACCCCACCCUUAUCCCUCUACCCUAAUAUUUUUCUUCCAAACUUUCCUAUCAGGGAUCAUGUCCUCGGCGAGCCGUAACUGCUCCAUGUCACAUCUAAUCACCUUCCUCCAGUAUUUUUUCGAUCUACCCCUACCCCGCUUGAAACCAUCCAAGGCCAACCUCUCACACCUUCGAAGUGGGGCAUCCGUGGCCCUUCUCAUCACAUGACCAAACCAUCUCAACCUCACUUCCCGGGUCUUAUCCUCCACCGGCGCCACUCCCACCUUCUCCCGAACAAUCUCAUUCCUAACUCUGUCAGCCCUUGUGAGUCCACACAUCCAACGCAAUAUCCUCAAUUCCGCCACCUUCAACUUCUGGACAUAAGCAUUCUUUAUAGGCCAACACUCCACCCCAUAUAGCAUAGCCGGUCGGACUGCAACUCUGUAGAAUUUACCUUUAAGUUUGGGCAGCACCUUCUUAUCGCAUAAAAUUCCCGAGGCGAGCCGCCAUUUCAACCAAUCUGCCCCAAUACGAUGAGCGACAUCUUCAUCAAUCUCUCCAUUCCCCUGAAUCAUAGACCCAAGGUACUUAAAACUAUCCCUCUUACACACUACCUAAGACUCCAACUUCACUGCCACCUCAUCAUCUUGCCUCGAGUCAGUAAACUUGCACUCCAAGUACUCCGUCUUAGACCUACUCAACCUGAAAUCUUUAGCUUCCAGGGUUUGUCUCCAAACCUUCAACUUAUCAUUAACACCUCAACGUGACUCAUCAAUCAAAACUACAUAAAAUAAUACAAAUAAUUAAGUCGGAUAAAAUAGUAAUCAUCAAAAUAAAUUAGAAUUAAAAGAGCCGAAAACAGCAACAUUAAAUCCCAAUUAAAUAAAAAAAAAAAUAUUAGGUUUAAAAGUAGAAAAAGAUACUAAGGACACCUAAAAAAUAGGGAUUACAGAAUCUAACAACCAUUAAAGCCUUUCUAUUCACUUGUUGGAUACUAUACAAAAUGAUUAGUUUAGUAGAAAUUGAUUAAGAAAAGUACUCUUCUACCACAUAAAAUAUCUAUAUUUUACACUUAACAAACAAACAAAACAACAAUAAAACUAGUGAGCAAAAUUUUAUGAAGAUCAAAUCUAAAUCUUCCGACAUUCAAGAAAUACGGCAAAGUAAAAUUUUAUGAAGAUCAAAUCUAAAUUUUCCGACAUUCAAGAAAUACAGCACUAACAAUCAUCGAAUUACAGAGAAAAAUCAAGAGAUCUAACAAAAUUAUAAUCACAAUUUAUCAAUAAAAUAUUUUUAUUUCUAAAGAGAAAGAAUCUAUCAAUUCAAAAUUUAAAAUUCUGAAUUGCAGUUUUUUUUUUUGUUGAGCUCAACAAACUCUAAUUACUUUAGUUUAAACACUUGAUUCAGAAUCUAGUUAUCAAAUUCGCGAUUCAGAAUCUAUAACCUUAAAAUUCUGACUUGCAAAUUUAUUUUUCUUUAACCUCAGUGAAACUCCAAUUAGAAGUACAACUAAUGAUAAUUUUGAAUGACAAAUUCAAACUUUCUUCAUAAAUAUUUAAUCACGUGAAAUCCAGCUAAUUCUCACGAUUUUGCAAGAAUACGAACAAACUAAAAGUACAGCAUAAUAUAAAAUUAACUUCGAAUAACACUUCAUCAUAAUCCUUGCUGUACAAAUAAUAAUUCCACAACAACACUAAGCAUGGAUAUAAAUAAGUUAAAUUGUAACCUUAGUAUGUUCAACUCUAGGCUUUAAUUUCGACCUUCGAGGUGGAGAAGAUGAGGAUAAUGAUAAAGGAGAAUUAAACGGAGUUAACGGAGAGUUAACGGCGGACCUCCUUUUUUCCCAACCCAAGGAACAAGUUGAUCUUGACCAUAAUUAAUACUUACAUUUGUUAAAUUUUCUAUCAGCUCCUGUAAAUUUAACAGAAUAUCCGUAACGUGUUUCUCAUCUUCCGUCCAAUCGUCACAUUGUACUGCUAGUAAAUCCACAUGAUCAACCAUAGUGAGAAAAUAAUAUUUGGGAGAAUUUAAUUUCACCUAUGUUUUUUUUUUUCUAAUAAUAAUGCCAUCUAUUUAUAUACCUGAAAACUAACCAAAUUCCUGAGCAAUACUCCUACUGGAGCCACAAUUAAUUAGGAGCGUAUAAUUUAGGGAUAAUACUCAUGAAAAUACCUGAAGUUUGACCGGAUUAUCAGUUGAGCAUAUUGAAUUUUGCGGGAGUCCUAUUACCCUUCAGACUUUUUUUUUUUUGUAUUUUAAUGGCAUAUAUCUGUCACUUGGCACAUUGCGAGUUAGUCACACGCAUUGAACGCGUAAACAGUGUUAAAAACGUUUUAAACUCUUUUUUUUUGGCCAAACAGCCCCUUAAUUUUAUAAUUAUUUAAAGUUUUAUAUUUUUAUUUAUUUUUUCAUUCUUUUUCUUCUUUCUUCUUUCUUCUUUCUUUCUUUCUUUUCUUCAACAAUGGUUGCUCCAUUGUUGAAUUGAAAUUGAAUUUGCUCCAUUGUUGAAUUGAAAUUGAAUUCUUGAAGAUUCUGUUUCGAACUCACUAAUUGAAACUCAAUGGAAGAUUCGGAAGAUUCAAACUCGGAAACUCGCUAACUGAAUCUUUUGAGUCCAUAUUUUUUUCUUCAUACAUAAAAUUAAAUUUUUCGAAUUUUCCGAGUUCCAUUAAUGGAAAUUGAAUCUUCCAUUGAGUUUUCAAUUAGCGAGUUCCAUUCAAUUAGCGAGUUUCAUUAAAUCUUCCAUUAACGGAACUCGCUAAUUGAAUCUUUCGAGUUUCAAUGAAAAAUUAAUGGAAGAUUCCAUUCAUCAAUUAUUUGAAAAAACUUUCUUCAUAAACUCAAUGGAAUUCAAAGUUUGAAACUGAAAAUUGAAUUUGAAAACUUGUGAAGGGAUAAGAAUGGACUUGAAAUUUGAAAUUGAAUCAAUUGAAUCACUUGGAAUAUUUAAUAUGGUUGUAAUGGUGAAAAAAUAUUAAAAAAUAAUAAAAUUGAAAAGAAACAGCGCGUGUCCACAAAUGUGCUUCUCUUUGCAAAUGCAUUCACAACAAUAAGAUAAAGAAACAUACUUCUUCAGGAGGAUCUCUUUUUUGUAAUUCUUCCUUUCUUCUAAUCUUCUUCCUCUUUCUUCACAACUUU
rnacentral:lncRNA from 1 species